UACGGAGGGAGCAAGCGUUACUCGGAAUUAUUGGGCGUAAAGGGUGCGUAGGCGGUUUGGUAAGUCUGAUGUGAAAUCUAUGGGCUCAACUCAUAGUCUGCAUCGGAAACUGCCGGGCUUGAGUAUGGGAGAGGUGAGUGGAAUUCCUGGUGUAGCGGUGAAAUGCGUAGAUAUCAGGAGGAACACCUGUGGCGAAAGCGGCUCACUGGACCAUAACUGACGCUGAUGCACGAAAGCUAGGGGAGCAAACAGG
rnacentral:rRNA from 1 species